rnacentral:lncRNA from 1 species
GCGGGAGACGGCGCGCCUCCAUUCAUCGCUCGCCAGAGUUGCCCACCCCCUCUCGUCUGCUCCUUGCCCUUGCCAUUCGAGGGCGAUCGGUGCUCCCUCCGCCUCCGGACCGCCGCCGCCGCCGCCGGAGCCCUCUCCGGGGCGUCCCUGAGAUUGUGUGCGCCAAUGGCGCCUCACCACAUUAAUGGCUUUGCUGACGUUCGUGCAGUUGCGGAAAUGUCACCUACACUUCCUACCAUGAUUAUUAGAGUACCUUGUGAGCAGUCAGCCAAUAUUCACAGGCUACUGGAAUUUGUUGAGGAUCGUCUGGAUCACGCCAUCGCCCAGGGAAACCUUACAAGUGCUGAUGCUCCCCAGUUUUGUUUGUCAUUGCUCAACGAGUCCCAGAUCUACCUGCGGCUUCAACUGUUCUCGUCGAAGUGGAUGAUUGGGUGCGGCCACCCAUCGACUCACGGGUAG